CAGUCAGUGUUGCAAGAGUCUUGAGUCUGUAUCCACUGUGAUGAAAACAUUGGACGUCUGUGUGAGGAGAUCAGCUCGCAACACACGGAGCAUCCUUAGCCACCAAUCCUAGUUGCUGCCUCCCCCUAGUCUCACCCAAUGAAGUGCCAACCAUCAGAUCACUUGAAAAGUUAGACUGCAAAUAUAAGACAAUGAAGCCAAAUUUUCGAUGGAAGAAAACAAACUCUAGUGGAAAAAGAGCACCGUUUUCAAAUGCAGAGGCAGUUUUCCACAAUGAAAGAAUUCUUCCAUAUGAUAGAAAAGAGAUCAUCAAAGAAGAUGGAGUUAGUGGUGGUGAUUUUCCCUAUCAUUUACAUAUGCAAGUGAUCAAAAACCCUGAAGUGGAGGGAAGAAAGCCUAAGUGUUUUUGUAGUUCAGAAGUGAUAAAAACCAGAACUAGACAAGCAAGCAGUGGGUAUAAUCUGAAAAAUAUAUUCUACUGGAGGCCAGAUUGGAGAGGGAGUUUCGUAUUUGUGUUGAUUGUGGUGUGUUUAUUGAGCAGAACAACACAAGGAGCACUGAACAGUGACAGUGAUGCCACAUACGAUGAUGAUAAUGUAAUGUUUAGUGCUAGAAGACUGAGUAGCUUGACAACACCAGAUCCUGUAAAUAUUUUACAUGAAGAGCACAGUGAUCUCAUUGGUGAUGGAUCAAAAUCUACAAAGACACCGUGUGGAAAAGAGAAAGGAGUGCAUGUGAAGAUCCAGUAUUCUUCCAGUAUUGUGGAAAAUGAAUACAUAGUGGCCUUCAAGGGAUACUACAGACAAGAGGCUCGUGAACGUUUCAUAAAGGCAGCCUUAAAUGAGUCCAAUGUGGUGCGGUGGGAGGUGGUGCCCCGCAACAAUCCUGCCAGUGACUACCCAAGUGACUUUGACGUGGUUCAGAUUCAAGAACAUCACAAGAACGUGGGUCUAGAUGCACUGAAGGACCAUCCUGCAGUGAAAAGAGUAACUGCUCAGCGCAUGGUGAUUCGCCAUCUACACUUCGUCAAUGACACUGAAGAUGCAGAUUUGGACCAGUGGAAAGAGAAUGUAUUUGCUAAUGUUUCUGAUACUGAAGGUUAUCCUGGUAUGGUCUUCAAUGUAACUGAUUCUGACAGAACUACUUUAGGUGAUGAGUCUUCCUUAAACUCUGAGGAAGAGUUAACUGACACACAGGAAAUACACGAUGAUGACAUGGAGUAUGACCAAAUGUAUGUUGAGACUGGUGCAGACAAAACAGACACCAAAGGCAUAGGUGAUGGUGAGCCUUGCAGUGGAGAUAAAUGCAAGGAAGGGGAGACAGAGGAUGGCACCUGGCCAGCCUCUAGACCACUGCGGCGAUCUUCACUAACAUUAGGCACAGCAUUUUGGCAGACCACAGGCAGACACUCCAGCCGCCGUCUUCUACGUGCUAUCCCCAGGCAGAUAACAACCACCCUGCAGGCAGAUGUACUGUGGAGCAUGGGCAUUACAGGUACUGGAGUUAAAGUGGCUGUGUUUGACACAGGCCUCUCGAAAUCCCAUCCCCAUUUCAAACGCAUCAAGGAACGAACAAACUGGACAAAUGAAAAAACUCUUGAUGAUGGCCUAGGGCAUGGCACCUUUGUAGCAGGAGUAAUAGCAUCCAGUGGAAAGACUUGCUUAGGGUUUGCUCCUGAUGCUGAGCUGCAUAUUUAUAGAGUAUUCACAAAUAACCAGGUGUCCUACACAUCCUGGUUCCUUGAUGCUUUCAACUAUGCAAUUCUAAAGAAGGUGGAUGUGUUGAACCUAAGUAUUGGAGGACCCGAUUUCAUGGAUCAUCCCUUUGUUGACAAAGUAUGGGAACUGACAGCAAACAGAGUCAUCAUGGUGUCUGCCAUUGGCAAUGAUGGGCCACUCUAUGGAACUUUGAACAAUCCAGCAGACCAGAUGGAUGUUAUUGGUGUGGGCGGCAUAAAUUUUGAAGAUCAAAUUGCCCGCUUUUCCUCCCGAGGGAUGACUACAUGGGAAUUGCCUCAGGGAUAUGGCCGUGUCAAACCUGACAUUGUGACAUAUGGGUCCCUGGUGCAGGGAUCAAGCAUGGAGGGCAAGUGUCGACAACUCUCAGGCACUUCAGUUGCCUCUCCAGUUGUUGCUGGAGCCGUUACUCUUUUGGCCAGUGGUGUUCUUCACCGAGGAGGCAUCAUCAACCCAGCCAGCAUGAAGCAGGCUUUGAUGGCUUCAGCUCGAAGACUUCCAGGAGUAAAUAUGUUUGAACAAGGUCAUGGCAAGCUGGACUUGGUGAAGGCUUACCAGGUUCUUUCAAAAUAUAAACCUCAAGCUUCCCUGAGUCCAAGUUACAUUGAUCUCACUGAGUGCCAGUACAUGUGGCCAUAUUGUACUCAGCCUCUUUACUAUGGUGCCAUGCCUGUCGUUGUUAAUGUCACAAUCCUCAAUGGUAUGGGUGUGUCUGGACGCAUCGUUGAAAAGCCUGUCUGGCACCCAUACACUCCUCAAUUUGGACAGCAUCUUGAAAUGGCAUUCACUUAUUCAGAGGUCCUAUGGCCAUGGUCAGGCCAUCUUGCUGUAUGGAUCACAGUGGCUGAGAGUGGUAAGGACUGGGAGGGUUAUGCACGAGGACAUAUCUCCAUUACUGUGGAAUCUCCUCCUGAAGAAGGUGAAACCCAACCAAGAAUUUCCCAUGUGAAGCUUCCUGUCAAGGCUAAAAUGAUUCCUACUCCACCGAGACACAAACGUGUGCUGUGGGAUCAGUUCCACAACUUGCGUUACCCUCCAGGCUACUUCCCCAGAGACAACUUGCGCAUGAACAAUGAUCCGCUGGACUGGAAUGCAGACCACAUACAUACAAACUUCAAGGACAUGUACCAACAUUUACGAAAUAGUGGAUACUACAUUGAAGUUCUGGGAUCCCCUUUCACUUGUUUUGAUGCAAGCAAGUAUGGAACUCUGAUGAUUGUUGACCCUGAAGAGGAAUAUUUUCCUGAAGAGGUGACAAAGUUACGGCAAGAUGUUGAAAAAGGCUUGUCCAUCAUUGUGUUUGCUGACUGGUAUAAUGUCAACGUUAUGAAGAAAGUGAAGUUCUAUGAUGAAAAUACAAAGCAACUUUGGAUGCCAGUCACAGGGGGUAGUAACAUCCCAGCCCUUAACUACCUGCUUGGUUUCUGGGGUGUGGCCCUCAGUGAUGGGGUAUAUGAAGGAGACUUCACUCUGGGAGACAGGGACAUGUACUAUGCCACUGGAACUUCAUUGGCACAGUUCCCUCGGGAUGGUAUAGUGGUGCGUAAAACCCUGAAUGAUCAUGCCAAAGAGAUGUUGGAGGCUGAGAAUGAAAGUGUUCAAGAUGUUCCCAUCUUGGGGCUGCUGCAAACAGAAAGUAACAGUGUUGCUGACAACACCGACAAGAGUCAGAAUCUGGGACGCUUGGUGGUGUACGGAGACUCUAACUGCCUGGACAACAGUCACCUCCAGAAGGACUGCUUCUGGAUGCUGGAUGCCCUGCUGGAGUACACUACCACGGGCCACCUGGCCGGUGUCUUCAGUUCCAGUGCCGGAGCUCCAAUUCCACCAACUACAGACUUGCCCACCAAAAUGGAAAACAGUAAUUUACACAAACACUCAAAGGUUGUAGAGCACACCCUGGGGAUGGAGCAGAUGCGGCCACUGCCAGAAUGUCCUGUCUUGAUGCCUGUCACACCACAGCCUCUAAAUGUUUCUAACAAAAACCUGAAUAUCCAUGUGGGCCUAAAGUUGCUCUCCCAGCCUGAAAUUGUUGCAGCAGUCAAGGUAGCUCCUGUUGAUGUUCAGCCUCUGCCUCUGGAUGGCCAUGGAGGCAACCAAGGAGAUAUAGUUGCUGGGUCUUCAAAUACAGAUGGUGAUGAUGGUGCCAUUCAUACCAGUUUGUAGCACGACGCUGGUGGGAUUUUUGUUAUUACUAAGAAACAUGAUGUCUUGAUAAUGAAAGGUAGCAGUCUGAGCACCCUUGCCUAUCCCACUGAAAGGACCCCAGCAUUUGCCAUCCUGUCCAUAGUGAUGGUGGUGCUCAUGGUGUGUUAUUGGUACCGCUCCAGACACAGACCCAAGAGGCGGCGCAGCAAACU
rnacentral:misc_RNA from 1 species